rnacentral:rRNA from 1 species
UACGAAGGGGGCUAGCGUUGCUCGGAAUCACUGGGCGUAAAGCGCACGUAGGCGGCUUUUUAAGUCAGGGGUGAAAUCCUGGAGCUCAACUCCAGAACUGCCUUUGAUACUGAGAAGCUCGAGUCCGGGAGAGGUGAGUGGAACUGCGAGUGUAGAGGUGAAAUUCGUAGAUAUUCGCAAGAACACCAGUGGCGAAGGCGGCUCACUGGCCCGGUACUGACGCUGAGGUGCGAAAGCGUGGGAGCAACAGG